GGAAGUAAAAGUCGUAACAAGAUCUCCGUUGGUGAACCAGCGGAGGGAUCAUUACAGGACUCGCAAGACUCCUACAACCCUGUGAACUUAACUAUAAGCACGUUGCUUCGGCGGGUGUCUCGGAGGGGGUUCUCCCUCCCCGAGACGCUAAACCCGCCGGCAGCCUACUAUACUCUGUCUCUUCGCGUUGGCAUCUCGAGUACAAUCAAACAAGUUAAAACUUUCAGCAACGGAUCUCUUGGUUCUG
rnacentral:misc_RNA from 1 species